UAUGGGAUGCCAGGGCUGUGGAUGU
rnacentral:piRNA from 1 species